rnacentral:rRNA from 1 species
UACGUAGGGUGCGAGCGUUGUCCGGAAUUAUUGGGCGUAAAGAGCUUGUAGGCGGUUUGUCGCGUCUGCUGUGAAAAUCCGGGGCUCAACCCCGGACUUGCAGUGGGUACGGGCAGACUAGAGUGUGGUAGGGGAGACUGGAAUUCCUGGUGUAGCGGUGAAAUGCGCAGAUAUCGGGAAGAACACCCGUGGCGAAGGCGGCACUCUGGGACGGUACUGACGCUGAGACGCGAAAGCGUGGGGAGCAAACAGG